ensembl:rRNA 5S_rRNA 5S ribosomal RNA
UAAGGCCAUAGUACCCUGAACGCACCGGGUCUCAAAAGCUAAGCAGGGUCAGGCCUGGCUGGUACUUGGUGAGUGAAUUCUCAUGUGAUCUGAUGUUUUAUAAG